AAACUUUCAACAACGGAUCUCUUGGUUCUGGCAUCGAUGAAGAACGCAGCGAAAUGCGAUAAGUAAUGUGAAUUGCAGAAUUCCGUGAACCAUCGAAUCUUUGAACGCACAUUGCGCCCGCCAGCACUCUGGCGGGCAUGCCUGUUCGAGCGUCAUCU
rnacentral:rRNA from 1 species